AUUGAACGCUGGCGGCAGGCCUAACACAUGCAAGUCGAACGGAGUGGCGGACGGGUGAGUAAUGUCUGGGAACCCGCCCGUUGGAUGGGGAUAACUACUGGAUACGGUAUCUAAUACCGCAUACUAUCAGAUGAGCCUAGGUCGGAUUAGAUAGUUGGUGGGGGAAAGGCCUACCAAGGCGACGAUCCGUACCUGGUCUGAGAGGAUGAUCAGUCACACGGGAACUGAGACACGGUCCAGACUCCUACGGGAGGCAGCAGUGGGGAAUAUUGGACAAUGGACGAAAGCCUGAUCCAGCCAUGCCGAGUGUGUGAAGAAGGUCUUCGGAUUGUAAAGCACUUUAGGUUGGGAGGCGUUACCAACAGAAUAAGCAACGGCUAACUACGUGCCAGCAGCCGCGGUAAUAC
rnacentral:rRNA from 1 species